CAGCACCUUCCGUUGGCCCAUUUCUGUGGUGACAGCGUGGCACCCGGGACUCUGCUUUUCAACAUAGUAAUCAUUGGUGGAGGACGUCCUGGGACAGAGACAGCUGCUGCUGCCACUCGGUGUAAAUCUGGCACUCUGCUCCUCACACACUGUGUGGAUCCAUAGAGACAGAGUCUGCCUAUGUUACCCAGGCUGGAGUGCAGCAGCUAGUCACAGGCAAAAUCACGACGUGGAACUCUCGGGCUGAAGCAAUCCUCCCACCUCCUAGCGAGUAGCUGGAACUGCAGGGAAAACAUACUCACCUCUUCUCCAAGGAUGACAACACAAAUACCAUUCAGUCACAUUUUAAAAGUCCAGAAUCUCCAGGUGAUUCACAGUACUGUCUCCAUCAGGUCAAGUUGUAGCUUCUGUCAGUCCUGAGAUAUAUGAACUAAAAAGGUAAGUCAUCUUCCUCUACCCACCCAAUAUGAAAUAGUGGGACAAAGAUGGAAUAACCACAAUAAGCACUCCCAUUUGCAGAGGCAAAUUACAGCAGGCAUUGUGAGU